AGGUAGGCAAUUUUCGGAGGUCUCAAGAAGGUAAGAAGUACAAGAAUGUGUGUGUGUGUGUGUGUGUGUGUGUGUGUGUGUGUGUGUGUGUGUGUGUGUGUGUGUGUGUGUGUGAGAAAGAGGGUGCUGACUCACACACUCAAUGACUCUGCCAGAACAGAGGAUGAACUGCUCACGCUGUAUUGACGGUAAAAAUGAAGGACAGAGAGAGAGAGAGAGAGGUAGCAAGAGGGUGCGGGGGGGGGGGGGGGGGGGGGGGCUGUACCACUCUACCCUCCCUCCCCUCGCCACCGCACACACACAAGAUCCACAUAAGCUGGCAUCUGCUCCCAUUCGGAGCUGCGAAAGAUGACUUCCAAGACGCGGACAUGUCCCGCUGGUGAGCCGUGUUGACGUUCACGCCAACGCCGCCGCUGUCACACGCGGAUAGACGGCGAAGGUUAUGACGCACACGUGUCAGCGAAACGUCACGACAACCUUUGGGGCGGCUCGUCCUUCACCUCUCCGGCCGAGUAGAAGAACUUGUCCUUGGGAGGUGAUGAUGAGAGUGCCGUAUAUCUCCGCACGAGUAUAACUGGAGGGUUUGCCCGAUGCACGACAGACACUUGAACACAUCGCGGUUUACGGCACGAACGUCCCGCACCUGGCUUAUGUGAGGAGGUGAAAAUGUGAUCCGUAGCAACUCUUUAGUAGCAGACAUGGCAGUAGAGCUCCAUUUCGAUAUAAAGUGCCAUUAAGGUAAUUUAAUAAUAUAUUUGAAAUUGUGCUUGUAGUACUUUGAGGUGUUUAUUUAUUUUAAAAAGAGAGGGGAAAAAAACCCAUAAAAAUCACCACAUAUUCAUCCUCAGUACAAUUAGCAUUUAUUUCUUUUACGCUUCUAAGUUAAAGUUAAAGUACCAAUGAUAGUCCAACACACACACUAGGUGUGGUGAAAUUAGUCCUCUGCAUUUGUUCACCCCCUGGGAGGUGAGGGGAGCAGCGAGCGGCAGCAGUGGUCGCGCCUGCCGGGUUCAAACACAGAUGACAUCUAUUAAACAAGACAGGAAGCAAGGAAUUCAAGAGAGAAAGAAUUAAUUUUGGCUCCAUUGAGGAGAGCGCUGAGUGUGAAUGUUGACUGUCUGUGUUGGCCGUUUGAUGAGGCGGUGACUUGUCCAGGGUGUACGCCGCCUUCCGCCCGAUUGUAGCUCAGUUAGGCUCCAGCGCCCGCCGCCACCCGGAAGGAAAUAAGCAGUAGAAAAAUGGAUGGAUGAGGGGAGCGCUGAGUGUGAAUGUUGUCUGUCUAUCUGUGUUGGCCUUGUGAUGAGGUGGCGACUUGUCCAGGGUGUACACCGCCUUCCCCCCGAUUGUAGCUGAGAUAGGCUCCAGCACCCCACCCACCCCCCGCCACCCCGAAGGAAAUAAGCGGUAGAAAAUGGAUGGAUGGAUGAGGAGAGCGCUGAGUGUGAAUGUUGACUGUCUAUCUGUGUUGGCCCUGUGAUGAGGUGGCGACUUGUCCAGGGUGUACACCGCCUUCCGCCCGAUUGUAGCUGAGAUAGGCGCCAGCGCCCCCCGCGACCCCAAAAGGGAAUAAGCGGUAGAAAAUGGAUGGAGAGCGCUGAGUGUGAAUGUUGUCUGUCUAUCUGUAUUGGCCCUGUGAUGAGAUGGUGACUUGUCCAGGGUGUACACCGCCUUCCGCUCGAUUGUAGCUGAGAUAGGCUCCAUUUUUGUUUGUUUUUUUAUAAAAAAAAAAUUUUGGGGUGGGGGUGUAUGUUUUCUUAGUACCCGUGUUAUGAUUUCCCUUUCAAAUAAAUAAAAAAUUUUUUUUUUUUUAAAUGUGGUAUUUUGCACUAAAAACAAAAGUUAUAUAAAACAAUUUAUGUCCCGUGAAUGUGUUUUAGUAAAUAUAAAACAUGCAUGCUAAAUUGAAGUUUGAUUUACAGAAGUAUUAAAGUUUGACAUUAUUGUCCAGGGUGUACACCGCCUUCCCCCCGAUUGUAGCUGAGAUAGGCUCCAGCACCCCACCCACCCCCCGCCACCCC